rnacentral:rRNA from 1 species
GUCGAGCGGUAAGGCCUUUCGGGGUACACGAGCGGCGAACGGGUGAGUAACACGUGGGUGAUCUGCCCUGCACUUCGGGAUAAGCCUGGGAAACUGGGUCUAAUACCGGAUAUGACCUCCUAUCGCAUGGUGGGUGGUGGAAAGAUUUAUCGGUGCAGGAUGGGCCCGCGGCCUAUCAGCUUGUUGGUGGGGUAAUGGCCUACCAAGGCGACGACGGGUAGCCGACCUGAGAGGGUGACCGGCCACACUGGGACUGAGACACGGCCCAGACUCCUACGGGAGGCAGCAGUGGGGAAUAUUGCACAAUGGGCGAAAGCCUGAUGCAGCGACGCCGCGUGAGGGAUGACGGCCUUCGGGUUGUAAACCUCUUUCAGCAGGGACGAAGCGCAAGUGACGGUACCUGCAGAAGAAGCACCGGCUAACUACGUGCCAGCAGCCGCGGUAAUACGUAGGGUGCAAGCGUUGUCCGGAAUUACUGGGCGUAAAGAGUUCGUAGGCGGUUUGUCGCGUCGUUUGUGAAAACCAGCAGCUCAACUGCUGGCUUGCAGGCGAUACGGGCAGACUUGAGUACUGCAGGGGAGACUGGAAUUCCUGGUGUAGCGGUGAAAUGCGCAGAUAUCAGGAGGAACACCGGUGGCGAAGGCGGGUCUCUGGGCAGUAACUGACGCUGAGGAACGAA